rnacentral:rRNA from 1 species
GACGAACGCUGGCGGCGUGCUUAACACAUGCCAGUCGAACGGAAACGCCCUUCUUUUGUGGGGUGCUCGAGUGGCGAACGGGUGAGUAACCCUUGAGUAACCUGCCCUUCACUUUGGGAUAACUUCAGGAAACUGGGUCUAAUACCGGAUAGGAGCUCCUGCUGCAUUGUGGGCGUUGGAAAGUUUCGGCGGUUGGGGAUGGACUCGCUGCUUAUCAUCUUGUUGGUGGGGUAGUGGCUUACCAAUGCUUUGACGGGUAGCCGGCCUGAGAGGGUGACCGGCCACAUUGCGACUGAGAUAGGGCCCAGACUCAUACGGGAGGCAGCAGUGGGGAAUAUUGCACAAUGGGCGGAAGCCUGAUGAAGAAACGACGAGUGCGGGAUGACGGCCUGAGGGUUGAAAACCGCUUUAGCCUGUGACGAAGCGUGAGUGACGGUAAUGGGUAAAGAAGAAACGGAUAACUACGUG